UUGUCCGGAUUUACUGGGCGUAAAGAGCGCGCAGGCGGUCGUUCAAGUCGCGUGUGAAAGCCCCCGGCUCAACUGGGGAGGGUCACGCGAUACUGAUCGACUCGAAGGCAGGAGAGGGAAGUGGAAUUCCCGGUGUAGUGGUGAAAUGCGUAGAUAUCGGGAGGAACACCAGUGGCGAAGGCGACUUCCUGGCCUGUUCUUGACGCUGAGGCGCGAAAGCUAGGGGAGCAAACGGG
rnacentral:rRNA from 1 species